UUUCUUCUUUUCGCCAAAACAAUUUUUUUUCAUUUUCUUCUUUGAUAUACCUUUGUUCAGGCUGAAAAAGAAGUAACACAGAAAUCUUCGGUCAUCGGAUCCAUGGAAUAAAGGUGUUAGUACUUGAGCGAAGGGUUUGUACACAGUUAUUAGUGUUCUCUUUUUUCUCUGCUUCUCUCUUCGAUCCACCUCCAGAAAACCCCCAAAUCUCUAGGGUAAAGCUGGUUUAAUGUUGUAGCAAAAUGCAUUGCUGUAUCUAAAGGUGACUUUAAAGCCUGAUAGCUACAAAUGCCAAGUGAUAAGACAGUAGUAGGAACAGAUGAUGUGUUCAACACUUUUGUCAGUGAAAAUGGUACUGAAAAACAUGUACCUCUUGCCAUCUUUGUAGAUCUUGAACUAACCGUCAUUGAUGAAGAAACAUUGUAGAUUCCUUUCAUUACCAUGAUAGCACAACGUUGUCCAUUGUAUGUAGUUUUGCAGUUCAUUGUGCUUCUUGCGGAGGUUGACGUUUAUACUUAUUUACUGAGAUGUCUGGCCUAUUCUAGUUGUGCUCAUGAUCUAGGUUUAUUGUCAGUCAAAUCACUGCUAACAACAACCCUGCCAAGAGGUGUAGCCAUCAAUUUCUUUAACUAAAUUAUCAUGCUAUAUAUGAACCUACAAAGGAUCAUAUGGAGCGUUAUACUUAAAUUACAAACAAGUCUCCCUGUUUGGCAAGGUUUGAGCCGAAAACAAGUGUCUGUCGGCUAACUGCAUCAUCAUAAGAUGGUCCUACUUGUUUGAACACUACUAGUAAAUGGUCUUACUGGUAUAGAUAAGGGACAAGAAAUGGCCAGAGUAAUUAUUGUCUACGUGCUUACUACCAGUGCACACUAGUUGUAGGAUACAGUACGGAAGCAGGUGCAGAGAUGGCAGAGGACAAUACGGAUAUGAUUACAGCUUAUGAAGGAAACCACAACCACCCAUUACGGCCGCAAGACACAGCAGUGGAUCACAUAACUACUGCAGCUGCUACUAGGCUCUUCUCAGGUUCAACAAUGACCAACAACAGAGAACCAAAUCUAUUACCAAACAGUCUAUUCUCUUCACCAUCAGCAACUCUUUAUUCCCUUACAGAUGCUAACAUUGCUAUUCUGUCAGCCUCUGCACCAUCAAACUGCACACCAGUUGGCUUGUAACGUUAAAUCUUUAAAAAAAGAAUCGUGGCCUAAAGUCUAUCACUAGAACUUGUCUGUGUUGCUUAUACAUUGUACAGUUUUUCUUUGUAAGUGAAAAUUUAAACUUUAAACUCCACCAUUGUAAGACGUAUCAUAUGUAUAAAAUGUUUGAUCCGUAAUGGCGUUUUAUGAAA